rnacentral:rRNA from 1 species
AUUGAACGCUGGCGGCAGGCCUAACACAUGCAAGUCGAGCGAGCGGCGGACGGGUGAGUAAUGUAUGGGGACUGCCCGAUAGAGGGGGAUAACUACUGGAAACGGUAGCUAAUACCGCAUACUAUCGGAUAACCCAUAUGGGAUUAGCUAGUAGGUGAGGUAAUGGCUCACCUAGGCGACGAUCCCUAGCUGGUCUGAGAGGAUGAUCAGCCAACCUGGGACUGAGACACGGCCCCGACUCCUACGGAGGCAGCAGUUGGGAAUAAUGCACGAUGGACGCAAGCCUGAUGCAGCCAUGCCGCGUGUAUUAAGAAGGCCCUAGGGUUGUAAAGUACUUUCAGUCGGGAGGCGUUACCGUCAGAAGAAGCACCGGCUAACUCCGUGCCAGCAGCCGCGGUAAUUC